GAGUAGUAGGAGUUAAGAUCUUGAAACUCAAAAAAUUUGGCGGUAUUUUAUCUUAUUAGAGGAACCUGUUUAUUAAUUGAUAUUCCACAACUUAAAUUUACUUCUAUUAGAUUAUUUGUAUACCGCUGUCAUGAAUCUACUUAAAAGUUAUUUUCGAAGUUUUUUAUGUAAGUUAUGUUAGGUCAAGGUGUAGUGUGUAGAGAACAAAAUGGGUUACAUUAUUUAUUAUGAAUGAAGUAUUUUAGUAAAAUAAAAUAGAAACAGGAUUUAUAAGUAAAAAAGUUGUUAAAGAUUUUGUAUGAAUAAAGAUUCUAAAAUAUG
rnacentral:rRNA from 1 species